UACGUAGGGCGCAAGCGUUGUCCGGAAUUAUUGGGCGUAAAGGGCUCGUAGGCGGUCUGUCACGUCGGGAGUGAAAACACGGGGCUUAACCCCGUGCCUGCUUCCGAUACGGGCAGACUAGAGGUAUGCAGGGGGAGAACGGAAUUCCUGGUGUAGCGGUGAAAUGCGCAGAUAUCAGGAGGAACACCGGUGGCGAAGGCGGUUCUCUGGGCAUUACCUGACGCUGAGGAGCGAAAGUGUGGGGAGCGAACAGG
rnacentral:rRNA from 1 species